rnacentral:rRNA from 1 species
GAUGAACGCUGGCGGCGUGCCUAAUACAUGCAAGUCGAGCGAACGGACGAGAAGCUUGCUUCUCUGAUGUUAGCGGCGGACGGGUGAGUAACACGUGGAUAACCUACCUAUAAGACUGGGAUAACUUCGGGAAACCGUAGCUAGUACCGGAUAAUAUUUUGAACCGCAUGGUUCAAAAGUGAAAGACGGUCUUGCUGUCACUUAUAGAUGGAUCCGCGCUGCAUUAGCUAGUUGGUAAGGUAACGGCUUACCAAGGCAACGAUGCAUAGCCGACCUGAGAGGGUGAUCGGCCACACUGGAACUGAGACACGGUCCAGACUCCUACGGGAGGCAGCAGUAGGGAAUCUUCCGCAAUGGGCGAAAGCCUGACGGAGCAACGCCGCGUGAGUGAUGAAGGUCUUCGGAUCGUAAAACUCUGUUAUUAGGGAAGAACAUAUGUGUAAGUAACUGUGCACAUCUUGACGGUACCUAAUCAGAAAGCCACGGCUAACUACGUG